AAUAUCUUCGCGCGUAUUCAUGCAGUGGAAGCAGUAACAUGGACUCCAUUUGUACUUGCUUACUCAGACAGUGACUGAAAACAAAACCUACUAGGAUUCUAUUGUUAGACGGAGUGAGGACCCUAAUAAAGGUGUGUUUUACAGAUGUGACUAACUGUGUUUGCAACCAGCAAAACAGCACCGCGUUGCAAAGACACGAGAGAGGCAUUCCUGCAAAACUGAGGAGACAUUCACAUCAACAUACAUCAGCUCUGUAGGUCGAUGCAGUGAAGAAUGUCAAGAUCAGCAGCUGGUGUGUCACUGGUGGUUACUGUGACACUCUUGUGUCUUUCAGUGGGUGUGAAUCCAUCUACAGCCACUGCAACGCAGGACGUCUUCCAGGCAGAGGAAGGCAGUAACGUCACACUGACAUGCCUCUUUCAUCUCAAGACUCACACGCCUGCCACCCAGGCUGUAUAUAGACAUUAUAUCUAUGAACCUAGGGAGGUUGAUCUACCGUUAUAACAGUGAGAUUGAACCUGAGCUGUAUGAAGAUGAGCUCUACAGAGGACGAGUGUUGUGCGAUCUAGAGCUCCUCAAGAAAGGACGGAUUGAAUGUCUCUUCACUGAUCUGAGGCUCAACGACACCAGCGCCUAUGUCUUUAUUGUUGUGAUUAACAGAGUUAAUCACAGAAAGAGAUGUGGGCUCAAUGUUACAGAGACGCCGCCGCAUCCCACAAGAGAUGUCCAAACUCCAGGUUCAAAUGAG